CACGAUUACCAGCCGGAGCCUCGAAUCAUGUCCCUUUGUGGUGAUAAAGAGGACACAGCCUGGUGUGAAGCUACAUUUAUUACGGAAGGAUGCCAGCCGGGAUCCGAACACGUCCGAUAUCAUCCAAGAGAAUGUGGCAGCUGAAGGGGGAGAGGCCAAGGGUGAAGACAUUUAGCCACCCCCCCUGAAGUACAUGGCAUCAUUCAACCCUCUUGGUGAGCUGCAGGAAUGUGCUUCCCAUUGCAGUGCACCAGCUCCAUGUACUGAUUUUGGUGUGAACUUGAUGGGGUUGGAGGAAACUUGACUCGGCCAUCAAGCUCACCACAAUAUAGUAAGGAACCUCUUGUUCUCAGUGAUAAUUUAUCCUCUUUAGUUACUAUUCCGUGUUGCUUUAAUCACAACUAAUGUGUUGGAAACAUUACAGCUUAAUAACAUACUUCACAUCUCUGCAUACAAAUUGAGUUCAAUAUUCAACUGUUACACCAGUAGGCUUCAUAUCUCAAAAAAAAAAGUAUGUAAAAAGGUUGAAAUUUUGAAUGAUAUAUUUAAACUCUUUAUUAUGUUUCUAUGGGUGUAGUACCGUUAUGAUUAGUCGAGUGAUCAGCAUAUGGGUCUUAUGUUUUUGAUAGCAUAGGUUCAAAUUUUGCCAUAGGCUGGCAUUUGAUAGUAACAGUAGUGUCCACAGAUAUCUACCUGUUUCUUGUUUAUCCUGUUCCACUUUAAACCAUGACUGGCCAAUCUUUGAAGAGGUAGCAUAACCUUGAAGUGCCACUAACAAACCUUUGUCCAUUCUUCUGAUGUGAUCCUUUUUUAUUUAUUUAUUUAUUUAUUUAUUUAUUUUUUUUUUUCCCACCUGCCUAUAGCGCCGGUAGGUUUUCUUCAGGCGCCUGGCGGUCGGCCCAGGCCCGUCAUGAUGCAGGCUUUUUUUUUUUUAUAGUGGUGCCAUUUAGUAUUGGCUCAUGCUGCCGCCCAGAACUCAUUCUUGAUUCACUUGGAUGGUUUAGCAGGGCUUAGGUAUGACUAACAUUGCAGAAACAGGGAAUUUUUAUAUUUUUAGUGUGGCAACACAUUGACAAAUGUUUUAGUAUGGACUGAACAUCAAAGAUAUAUAUGGUAAAUGGGUGCUUGUAGAUCUUGACAUUAUAUCUGUCAAGAGUCUCCAGUUGUAUCCUCUCCCCCAUCUCUCCUGAAAAUAUUACUCUUGUCGGGCAAUCUAAGUGAAGCCUUCCAUCGAUGCUGGCGUGCAGACAUAAUGUCAAUGCUUAGAUUCACUGUCCUUAUAGCACUGA